rnacentral:lncRNA from 1 species
CAAGAGAAAGCGUGGUCAGCAGGGAGCACCAGCUUCCCUCUCCAGGAAGAUGGGCUCCAGAGCCUACCUGGGUGACAAAAGAAAAGGAAACUAGUAGGGUGAGAGGAAAAGGACAUUAGAAGCCUGUGCUCUCAUUGACACCACCGCAAGAGCCUGGGAACCUGAAUACGUCCACCCUGAGAGUGUUGCUACAGGGUUUGAUCUUGUGAGCUGCUCAAGUUGCUGCCACUACUGCCCAGGAAGCCAGGAGUGACUCUGCCUGCAACUUUUACUUCACUGAUGAUACCAGAAGCAGAAAAAACCAAAAAGAUACCUUCUCCCUUCUUCCCUCCUUCUAGUCUCCUCCAGUGCCCGCCAUUGGCAGAACCUAACUGGAAGCCCCCAGGGUGGGAAUGGGCCUGAGGAAUAUUGUAAUACUGUUUGCAGGCUUCCAGCCCCUGCGAAACAGCAAGAAGCACAGAUGGCCAGAAUGGCAUGAGGCAAAGGAUGCCACAGGCUUCAGCCUCCUGCAGUGGAAGAAUUGGGAAAUACAUUUAGCUGCUUAUUACUCGCUGAGGGAACUUCUAAGAACCAAUGUCCAGUUUCACUCUGCAGUCCCGAUGCCAUUGGUCUGGGGCAUGGCCUGGAUAGCAGGAAUUUUAAAAGCCCCUCAGGAGAUUCUGAAGUUUAAAGAAGGUGUAAAACUGGGGAACGUGGAGCUCCAGGUGUCCAUGUGGAUUUGAGCAGCAAUCUUCCUUACCAAAUUGCCGGCUUGGAUAAUCAUGUCUCAAGCUUCAAAGAUGCAGUAUAAUGUGGUGGUUGAAGAACUAAUCUUCCUUAUUUCGGAUUCUAGAUCUGCCGUUUACAAACUGUGUGACCCUGGCCGUGAUACUUAAUAUCACUGAGUUUCAGUUCUCUUGUCUCUUAAGUGGGUAUCAGUGUGG